GAAAUGCGAUAAGUAAUGUGAAUUGCAGAAUUCAGUGAAUCAUCGAAUCUUUGAACGCACAUUGCGCUCGCCAGUAUUCUGGCGAGCAUGCCUGUUCGAGCGUCAUUUCAACCAUCAAGCUCUGCUUGCGUUGGGGAUCCGCGGCUGCCCACGGUCCCUCAAAAACAGUGGCGGGCUCGCUAGUCACACCGAGCGUAGUAACUCUACAUCGCUAUGGUCGUGCGGCGGGUUCUUGCCGUAAAACCCCCAAUUUCUAAGGUUGACCUCGGAUCAGGUAGGAAUACCCGCUGAACUUAAGC
rnacentral:misc_RNA from 1 species